rnacentral:SRP_RNA from 1 species
GCUGGGCAUGGUGGCGGGCGCCUGUGAUCCCAGCUACUAGGGAGGCUGAGGCAGGAGAAUGGAGUGAACCUGGGAGGCAGAGGUUGCAGUGAGCCGAGAUUGCGCCACUGCACUCCAGCCUGGCGACAGAGUGAGACUCCAUCUCAAACAAACAAAAAAAAGUGCCUAUUUUUUUUUUUUUUUUUUUUUUGAGGCGGAGUCUCGCUCUGUAGCCCGGGCUGGAGUGCAGUGGCCGGAUCUCAGCUCGCUGCAAGCUCCGCCUCCCAGGUUUACGCCAUUCUCCUGCCUCAG